rnacentral:sRNA from 1 species
UGAGAAGCUUCGACUAAGGUUCGAUUCGAGCGCAGCGAGAAAGCGUUGCCGUAGGCAACGACCCGAAGGGCGAAGCGCGCAGCGCUGAGUCAUCCUUCCCCCACCACCA